UGGCAUUCAAUUUGGUGAUGUUAGAAGACAAGAGUUUUGCUAGUUGAAGAUAUAUAGAUACACGCUUAUAUAUGUAAUCACAGUGUCAGUAAACAGCAUCUGCUGGAUUAUGAUAAGAGCACAAAAUGCAGAGUUUACACACUCAGACCACGGACCGGCCGCAGGAGUAGAUUUUGAUUGCUGCCAGCAACUGGAGCUCAUGGCUGUCUGGGAAGAAACUGAAUUUGAAAAGCUGACAGGCGACAGCAACAUGAUUUCAACACGGAUGGGAGAAAGAGGCCCCCAGGUGUAAUGGGGAAGAACAAGAAACUACUGGAAAUUCUGCCCUGGAAGAAUCUGAUGUGAAACAAGAAUAUCCGGCCCUUUCUUUCUCUUUCUGUGAGUCCAGUGGACACACAGCGUUUGGAGCACAGGAGGAUGGAUGGGAAGGUAGAUCUUCUUCCAUGUCAGCCAUGUUGUGAC
rnacentral:lncRNA from 1 species